rnacentral:rRNA from 1 species
UACAGAGGUCCCAAGCGUUGUUCGGAUUCAUUGGGCGUAAAGGGUGCGCAGGCGGCCGAGUGUGUGAGGCGUGAAAGCCCGGGGCUUAACCCCGGAAUUGCACCUCAAACUACACGGCUAGAGCAUUGGAGAGGGUAGCAGAAUUCACGGUGUAGCAGUGAAAUGCGUAGAUAUCGUGAGGAAUACCAGAGGCGAAGGCGGCUACCUGGACAAUUGCUGACGCUCAGGCACGAAAGCGUGGGGAGCAAAAGGG